AUUCGCCCUUAGAGUUUGAUCCUGGCUCAGGAUGAACGCUAGCUACAGGCUUAACACAUGCAAGUCGAGGGGAAACGACAUCGAAAGCUUGCUUUUGAUGGGCGUCGACCGGCGCACGGGUGAGUAACGCGUAUCCAACCUGCCCACCACUUGGGGAUAACCUUGCGAAAGUAAGACUAAUACCCAAUGAUAUCUCUAGAAGACAUCUGAAAGAGAUUAAAGAUUUAUCGGUGAUGGAUGGGGAUGCGUCUGAUUAGCUUGUUGGCGGGGUAACGGCCCACCAAGGCUACGAUCAGUAGGGGUUCUGAGAGGAAGGUCCCCCACAUUGGAACUGAGACACGGUCCAAACUCCUACGGGAGGCAGCAGUGAGGAAUAUUGGUCAAUGGACGAGAGUCUGAACCAGCCAAGUAGCGUGCAGGAUGACGGCCCUAUGGGUCGUAAACUGCUUUUAUAAGGGAAUAAAGUGAGUCUCGUGAGGCUUUUUGCAUGUACCUUAUGAAUAAGGACCGGCUAAUUCCGUGCCAGCAGCCGCGGUAAUACGGAAGGUCCGGGCGUUAUCCGGAUUUAUUGGGUUUAAAGGGAGCGUAGGCCGGAGAUUAAGCGUGUUGUGAAAUGUAGACGCUCAACGUCUGCACUGCAGCGCGAACUGGUUUCCUUGAGUACGCACAAAGUGGGCGGAAUUCGUGGUGUAGCGGUGAAAUGCUUAGAUAUCACGAAGAACUCCGAUUGCGAAGGCAGCUCACUGGAGCGCAACUGACGCUGAAGCUCGAAAGUGCGGGUAUCGAACAGGAUUAGAUACCCUGGUAGUCCGCACGGUAAACGAUGGAUGCCCGCUGUUGGUCUGAAUAGGUCAGCGGCCAAGCGAAAGCAUUAAGCAUCCCACCUGGGGAGUACGCCGGCAACGGUGAAACUCAAAGGAAUUGACGGAAGGGC
rnacentral:rRNA from 1 species